UACGUAGGCAGCGAGCGUUGUUCGGAAUUACUGGGCGUAAAGCGUGCGCAGGCGGCUUUGCAAGACAGAUGUGAAAGCCCCGGGCUUAACCUGGGAAUGGCAUUUGGGACUGCAAGGCUGGAGUGUGGCAGAGGAGACUGGAAUUCCUGGUGUAGCAGUGAAAUGCGUAGAUAUCAGGAGGAAUACCGAUGGCGAAGGCAGGUCUCUGGGCUGACACUGACGCUCAUGCACGAAAGCGUGGGGAGCAAACAGG
rnacentral:rRNA from 1 species